GGUAGUUGCGAUGAUGAUAAGAUGAAUAAUCCCAGCUCAUUACGAGGCCUUCUUUGUGUAAGGUCCGGGAAAAUAACUCUCUCAUGUCUAUCUGAGCCUUUCC